GACGAACGCUGGCGGCGUGCUUAACACAUGCAAGUCGAACGGAAAGGCCCUGCUUUUGUGUGGUGCUCGAGUGGCGAACGGGUGAUUAACACGUGAGUAACCUGCCCUUUACUUUGGGAUAACUUCAGGAAACUGGGGCUAAUACCGGAUAGGAGCUCCUGCUGCAUGGUGGGGGUUGGAAAGUUUCGGCGGUUGGGGAUGGACUCGCGGCUUAUCAGCUUGUUGGUGGGGUAGUGGCUUACCAAGGCUUUGACGGGUAGCCGGCCUGAGAGGGUGACCGGCCACAUUGGGACUGAGAUACGGCCCAGACUCCUACGGGAGGCAGCAGUGGGGAAUAUUGCACAAUGGGCGGAAGCCUGAUGAAGCAACGCCGCGUGCGGGAUGACGGCCUUCGGGUUGUAAACCGCUUUCGCCUGUGACGAAGCGUGAGUGACGGUAAUGGGUAAAGAAGCACCGGCUAACUACGUG
rnacentral:rRNA from 1 species